rnacentral:rRNA from 1 species
GUACNGCGUAGGAAUCCACCCGGCAGUGGGGGAUAACCGGGGGAAACUCGGGCUAAUACCGCAUGUCGAGCGUCGGCGUAGAGCCGGCGCUGAAAGCGGGGGAUCUCGCGCACGGCUUCGGCCGAAGGCGGAGACCUCGCGCUGUCGGAGGAGCCUGCGUUGGAUUAGCUUGUUGGUGGGGUAACGGCCUACCAAGGCGACGAUCCAUAGCUGGUCUGAGAGGACGAUCAGCCACACUGGGACUGAGACACGGCCCAGACGUCUACGGACGGCAGCAGUAGGGAAUCUUGCACAAUGGGCGAAAGCCUGAUGCAGCCAUGCCGCGUGUGUGAAGAAGGCCUUAGGGUUGUAAAGCACUUUCAGUGGCGAAGAAAAGGUCGGCGCCAAUACCGCCGGCCCUUGACGUUAACCACAGAAGAAGGACCGGCCAACUCCGUGCCAGCAGCCGCGGUAACACGGAGGGUCCGAACGUUAAUCGGAAUUACUGGGCGUAAAGCGCGUGUAGGCGGCUUGCUAAGUGGGAUGUGAAAGCCCCGGGCUCAACCUGGGAACUGCAUUUCAGACUGGCAGGCUAGAGUUCAGUAGAGGGAGGUGGAAUUUACCGUGUAGCGGUGGAAUGCGUAGAUAUGGUAAGGAACACCAGUGGCGAAGGCGGCCUCCUGGACUGAAACUGACGCUCAAGU